rnacentral:rRNA from 1 species
GCUGUUCGCCAAUUAAAGCGGUACGCGAGCUGGGUUCAGAACGUCGUGAGACAGUUCGGUCUCCUAUCUGCCGUGGGCGUUGAAACUUGAGAGGACUCUUCCCUAGUACGAGAGGACCGGGAAGAACGAACCUCUGGUGUGCCGGUUGUCCUGCCAAGGGCAUAGCCGGGUAGCUACGUUCGGCACGGAUAAACGCUGAAAGCAUCUAAGCGUGAAGCCGUCCUCAAGAUUAGGUUUCGUUAUGAGACACCUGGGAGACUACCAGGUUGAUAGGCGCUAUGUGUAAGGCCCGCAAGGGCUUCAGCAGAGGCGUACUAAGCAGUCCAGAUUAUCCU